GGGCUCAAGGCGUCGUGCGCAUUUGACCCUCCUUG
rnacentral:ribozyme from 1 species